GUCCCUUCGGGGACAUCCGAUAAAUUGGAACAAUACAGAGAAGAUUAGCAUGGGCCCUGCGCAAGAACGACACGCACAAAUCGAGAAAUGGUCCAAAUUUUU
rfam:Triticum aestivum genome assembly, contig: Triticum_aestivum_CS42_TGACv1_scaffold_433011_5DL